UACAUCCUGCGGUGUUCGUUACGGCCUCCAUCGUUGUUUUGAACCAAUGGCUGUUUCAAGGGAGACCUACAUCGGAGCGCGGCUGACAUGCCCCCGAAAGGGGACUUCAAAAACGUUCCUGCGGUCACCCACCUGCGAGUGCGGGUUCAGAAACACACAGGCCGGACGGCAUUGGCGGGGGAUUC
rfam:Thermobacillus composti KWC4, complete genome.